UCAAUUGUGCCAAAGAAUCACUGGUUGAUGUGACUGAAAGCUCUGAACUUGUGCUGGCCAAAAUCAUCCUCCUCAGAUGGGAACAUCCCAAAAGUCUGCAGAAGCUCAGCCUCUGAGGUGAACAUUGUGGCCCAAACCUCUCUCUGUUCUGUACCUCGCAGGAUUCCAGCUGGUUCUUCCAAUCCAGGAUGAAAACUGUGCCACCGAACCCAGCACCUGUGCAGUGAAGUGCCACUUGAACCCGCUGUGAUGCACAGACCUUGCCCUGGCUGUCUGCACAGGGCUGAAUUUCACCCAUUCAGAGUGUAUUCUCAGGGCACCCCGUGCUUCAUAUGGGCAUUCUUGGGUGUGCAGAUUGCAUCAGACCUGCACCUGAAUAAAUAAUAGUGAAUGAAAUAUGCAGACACUAAAGUCCUGCAGCCAAAUUCUCAGAAACCUUCCUCUUCAGUGUAGGAACAGGAUUUUGUUUUUAAUAUUUUUUAAAGUGCUAAGCAGAUGCUACACUGUAAGGAGAGGAAACAGAAGCAAAAACUGAAAGACCAUGACUUAAACCAAUGAACAGCUGCAGAGAGUGGAGACACAGCAAAGCAAACAAAUGAAUACUGAAAAGGAUCCCCAAAGGAGGUGUAAGGCUCCUGGACUCUAGUGCCUGAAAGAAGCUUCUGCCACCUUCACAGGCUAGGGCCCACCGUCCAUUGUGGAGGUGAAGACGGGAUGGGAGCUGCUGGACUGACCUUGAUGUGCCAUUGUGACGUUAUGAGUAUAAUCUCUCAU